GCCCUCUUAGUUAAAUGGAUAUAACCGCUCACUCCUAACGAGCAAUUGUAGGUUCGAUUCCUACAGAGGGCA
rnacentral:tRNA from 1 species